rnacentral:rRNA from 1 species
UGGUGCACAUAGCACAGUGGAACCACACCGAUCCAUCUCGAACUCGGUUGUUAAAUGCUGUAGCGGCGAUAAUACUUAAGGGGGAGCCCUUUGGGAAAGUAGCUCAGUGCCAAAGCU